AAUCAGUAAACCCUGUCGCGGAAGGUUUUCUCUUUAGUCUAAAUUUUCUGAAAAUCGCACGUUUUAUCAUUCAUCAGCGUUGACUCAGAAUAAAAAUCAUAUAUAUAUGUGAAAUAGUGUAAAAGCAAAUAUAAAGGGGUAGCUUUUAUUUUGAGUUGCUAUAAAUAGCUUGGACAAUUUUCUUGUGGGAAAUCGAGUGCCCCAUUCAUAAAGUACAUUCAUUUGGGAAGACACGGUCGGAGAGGGGAAAAAUUUCAAGUCACAGUGAAUGGGUUUUUAAUCAAUACUCGUGGAAUUCCGGAUAACUACACUUUCUAAGGAUUUUCUUAUCGACGAAAAAGCAGUAAUUUAAAGAAAAAAUGGCAACGACGGAGGGUGGUUUAGCUCCAGCCAGCGAUGACAUGCCAGUGGGCGGGCCCAAGACGCCCCAACAGAUUGCUGCCCAGCGCCGUCUUCAGCAGACACAGGCGCAAGUCGAUGAGGUGGUGGAUAUUAUGAAAACAAACGUCGAAAAGGUACUGGAGAGAGAUCAGAAGCUUUCAGAACUUGAUGACCGAGCAGAUGCACUGCAACAAGGCGCUUCACAGUUUGAACAACAGGCUGGCAAGUUGAAGAGCAAAUUUUGGUUGCAGAACUUAAAAAUGAUGAUAAUCGCAGCUGUCAUUGGGAUUAUAAUUUUGGCUUUAAUCAUUGCCAACUUUGUGUGAACAAGUUUCGGUAACCGAAGUUUAAUUUAGAAGUUACUUGUUAUAUUAUGAAUAGAUAUAAUGCAGUCUGUAAACAUCUUUUGUGGCAAACCGAGGUCUCGCCUUCGCUGCUUUUCGGUCCCGGCUACAAUUAUCCCGAGUAAUAAUUUGUCGUUCUUUAUAGAUUAGUGUUGUUGAAUGUUUUCUUAAUUAUAUAAAAAUGAAACAUUAUAAUAUCGAAAUAUUGAGGCUAAAUAUCUUAGAAUUUGUAAAUUUUUGAGAUCACUUAUCUUACCGACUCUGUCACUAUUUUGCCAUAAGUAAUGUUUUAAUAGAAUAUUUUUAGAAGAUCUUUCUUUAUUAACAUUUACUGUUGAAUAGCGAAAAUUUCCGCUGGCCCUUACAAUGAGGCUUAUCAAAAAUAUACCAUAUCAAGAUAUUUUAUAAUUGUGUUCAACAAUAUAAAUAUUUUUAUUAAUUUUGCUUUUUAUACUUGGACCAAAUUUUUUAAAACUGUUAUCCCUAGAGACCUGUUAAUGUUGUUUUAGAGACCGUGUUAAAAAGUAGAGUUUAAUUUUCUAAAAUUUAUUUUCGACACUUAUUAAACGCAAAGUUUGUCCUUAAUAAAUCGCUUAAAGUUUGUCAUGCUAUUUACACCUAUAUGUUUUUUAUGUAUAAAAAAUGUAUUAUGGGAAGCUGCACAGCACCUUGAGCGGUUUUGUAACUUGUUAAAAAUGUAUACCUAUUAGCCGUUUCACAAUGUAACCAUUUAAACUUAGUUACAUAGAUUUGAAACGAAGUUUUAUACCUAAUAAAAUUAUUGUUAAAUAUAUUACAAUUUGUAUAGAUGUGUCACAAUAUACCUUCCUAUAGGGUGUUAUUACUGGCCAGUUCGUGUA